AAAUGAGAAAAGGGGAGCUUUUAGCUAAUAUUUCUGGCGGAGCGUGUUUUUAUAUUCCCAGAGGAGGCCCAUGGCAUUUUUCUCACCCGUACGCGUUCGUCCGGAAAGCUUGCGAGCGAGCUAAACAAGUACUAAAACUCAAGUUGGAUUUGCUGAAGAGAUGAGGAUGAAGAGGCGGCAAGGAGUUGACCUCAAGCCACGCAGCCGCAGUAAACAAAGUUUUUGUAGCCCACCGCAGGCCAUUUGACUAGGCGCGCUGGACAAGCCUAUCAUGCUUCGGCGAAGAUGCAGUGGUGAUGUACCGGCAAGUACUCCUCUUUUUUUUCGAAAGUACUCGUCUUGGCAUCUACCUUUCGGGCUAGAAUUGUGGAGAGGUGACGAGAGCAACAAAAACAGGAAGGACUUGCUUGCAUGAUCAUCAGCUUCCAUGGCGACCUUGUCUCGGUGUAGAGAGCUGACUUUCUGCGGGAAUCGAGUUGGGAUCUAGGCUCGAAAGUCGUGCUCCGCUGCUUGGGAGGAUUUGCAUGUGAGAAUCUUCUCAAGACUUUGUGGCAUAAGGGCUUGCAAGUUGCGUUGCGGGGAUGGUUUUUGCUGCAAGGAAAGUGGGCUGGAAGUUUAUUUGAUGUCUUUUUCCAAGUCCGGGGGCGAGAAAACUGGGGGAAUCUCGUUGUCUCUGACUGGUACAGUUUUGAAGCUGAUCGCGGAGGUAAGUCGUUGAUUUGCCAGAGAUUUUCGGGUUUGUGUUUCACGCUGUUUUCUUUAUCAUGUUUAUAAUUCUAUGUAAUAAGUUCUCCAAGUAAGA